rnacentral:rRNA from 1 species
ACGACGCUGGCGGCGUGCCUAAUACAUGCAAGUCGAACGGUCUUUUCUAUGGAAGCUUGCUUCCACUGAGAAGAUAGUGGCGAACGGGCGAGUAACACGUGGGUAACCUGCCCAUAAGAGGGGGAUAACAUCCGGAAACGGGUGCUAAUACCGCAUAGUUUUUCUUGAUCGCAUGAUCGGGAAAGGAAAGACGGCCUUUGUGCUGUCGCUUAUGGAUGGACCCGCGGCGUAUUAGUUAGUUGGUGAGGUAACGGCUCACCAAGACGAUGAUACGUAGCCGACCUGAGAGGGUGAUCGGCCACAUUGGGACUGAGACACGGCCCAAACUCCUACGGGAGGCAGCAGUAGGGAAUCUUCCGCAAUGGACGAAAGUCUGACGGAGCAACGCCGCGUGAGUGAAAGAAGGUUUUCGGAUCGUAAAACUCUGUUGUCAGAGAAGAACAAGUUGGAGAGUAACUGCUCCAGCCUUGACGGUAUCUGACCAGAAAGCCACGGCUAACUACGUGCCAGCCGCCGC